ensembl:lncRNA
GUCUCUGUUUACUGUUUAUUACGUUUUCGACGCCGUUUUCAUUAUUAAGGUGAUUAUGGUAUAUCAUAAUUUAAAUUUUUACACAAAUUUUUAGUACAAAAAAAUUAAAUAAAUACACAUAGCUGCAUUGUUCGUUAUUCAGCAAGAGUCAACUCCCAAUCGUAAAUGAAUCAUUUAGGUCGGUUUUGUGAAUCAGUUCAACCGAAUCAUUGAUUUGUUCACGACUCGGACAUCACUAGUAGGGAGGAGCGUCUCGCUGCAGCCUGCGGUGGACAUCCAACCCGGCCCACAUCCAAAUGUGACGUCACAGACCACGCCCAUGUCAAAAUACGUCACAUUCUCAAUCAUUUUGAAACAGGAAGAAACAUCGAUAAGAAGAUAAUUUGUAUUGUUUGCCAACCGCUAAAAAAGAAGCUGUUGUUUGCCGUGUCGCAUUCUACACAUUUUCAGUCCAAGCCUGAUGCAGGGCAGUUCUCCCGGGUUAAGGGGUCCCUGCUGCAGUUUCACCAGUAAAGAAAAUUACUUGUUACAGUUCACUUGAAGGACCACAUAAGCCAUGCAGUGGUGCAUGGAGGAGCGCCAAGAGGACAUAAAGUGGAAGUUUGUAAGGGACAUUGGUCCAGCGUGGUACAGAGUCAUCGUGGGUUAUUCUGUGGGGAGGUGACAGGGCCUGCCGUUCUCCAGAUGGACAGUAAAAAAAUCAACAGAAUGCCAUCAAAGACUACCUGGAGGGAGAAUCGGAGGAUAUAUUGAAGCAAGG